rnacentral:rRNA from 1 species
UGGGGAAUAUUGCACAAUGGGCGCAAGCCUGAUGCAGCCAUGCCGCGUGUGUGAAGAAGGCCUUCGGGUUGUAAAGCACUUUCAGCGAGGAGGAAGGUGGUGAGCUUAAUACGCUCAUCAAUUGACGUUACUCGCAGAAGAAGCACCGGCUAACUCCGUGCCAGCAGCCGCGGUAAUACGGAGGGUGCAAGCGUUAAUCGGAAUUACUGGGCGUAAAGCGCACGCAGGCGGUUUGUUAAGUCAGAUGUGAAAUCCCCGGGCUCAACCUGGGAACUGCAUUUGAAACUGGCAAGCUAGAGUCUCGUAGAGGGGGGUAGAAUUCCAGGUGUAGCGGUGAAAUGCGUAGAGAUCUGGAGGAAUACCGGUGGCGAAGGCGGCCCCCUGGACGAAGACUGACGCUCAGGUGCGAAAGCGUGGGGCAGCAAACAGGAUUAGAUACCCUGGUAGUCCACGCUGUAAACGAUGUCGAUUUUGGAGGUUGUGCCCUUGAGGCGUGGCCUCCGGAGCUAACGCGUU